UACGUAGGGGGCAAGCGUUGUCCGGAUUUAUUGGGCGUAAAGAGCGUGUAGGCGGCCAGGUAGGUCAGCUGUGAAAACUCGAGGCUCAACCUCGAGACGCCGGUGGAAACCAUCAGACUAGAGUCCGGAAGAGGAGAGUGGAAUUCCUGGUGUAGCGGUGAAAUGCGCAGAUAUCAGGAAGAACACCCGUGGCUAAGGCGGCUCUCUAGUACGGUACUGACGCUGAGACGCGAAAGCGUGGGGAGCGAACAGG
rnacentral:rRNA from 1 species